UUUAGACCUCAGGGGAAAUAGGGCCUGAGAGCUUUGGGGAGGGAGAUGAUGUCCCCAUCGGCUCCUUCCCCAUCUGGGAUCUCUUCCAUUCUUUGGGCCUUUGACUGACACCCACAGUGUGCAGAGGCUGAGGUUAGGGCCAGCUGGGGUUACCCUCGGUCAUCAGGUGGGUGGGGGGAGGGGGGAGCCAGCUUGGAAGGAGCCUGGAGGGACUGACCCAGGUAAAAUAUUAACCAACAGCUUCGGGAGAGGCAGGGGCCAGAAAGGCCUGAGAACCUCCCCCUCCAGCCUGUCCCUUUCUCCUUGGCACUGGGUCAGGUGCCUCCCUUCCCACCUCCUCUGUCAAAGGAGUUGACUGACCCCAGAGGGGACCCGGGCAUCAGGCUUGGCCGGGAGGCCCCGAGUCCCAGCCAUGAGGCGGAGCCGGACCGCGGCAUCCUUCCUGCCUAACGAGCGAGUCCGAGAGGCGGCAGAAUUGAGCCCUGCGGCUGUCGGCCCCCCCAGGCAGCAGCGCAGUCCGCAGGCGCUUCUCUGGGACCCCGCAGCUGCCGCCGCUCACGUGGCGCCACGGCCCAGUGGGAGAGCCCGCCCGGGCCCUAGAGCCUGAAGCCAGUGCCCGGGUCGUGUUCAGCAUUGAGGAGCGAGUGUCCGAGCGUGGCUAUCCCCCGACUGGCAGCAGGUAAGGG
rnacentral:lncRNA from 1 species